rnacentral:rRNA from 1 species
UUAAGUUAUUAAGGGCGCACGGUGGAUGCCUUGGCACUAGAAGCCAAUGAAGGACGUUACUAACGACGAUAUGCUUUGGGGAGCUGUAAGUAAGCUUUGAUCCAGAGAUUUCCGAAUGGGGAAACCCAGCAUGAGUUAUGUCAUGUUAUCGAUAUGUGAAUACAUAGCAUAUCAGAAGGCACACCCGGAGAACUGAAACAUCUUAGUACCCGGAGGAAGAGAAAGAAAAUUCGAUUCCCUUAGUAGCGGCGAGCGAAACGGGAAGAGCCCAAACCAACAAGCUUGCUUGUUGGGGUUGUAGGACACUCUAUACGGAGUUACAAAGGACGACAUUAGACGAAUCAUCUGGAAAGAUGAAUCAAAGAAGGUAAUAAUCCUGUAGUCGAAAAUGUUGUCUCUCUUGAGUGGAUCCUGAGUACGACGGAGCACGUGAAAUUCCGUCGGAAUCUGGGAGGACCAUCUCCUAAGGCUAAAUACUCUCUAGUGACCGAUAGUGAACCAGUACCGUGAGGGAAAGGUGAAAAGCACCCCGGAAGGGGAGUGAAAUAGAACCUGAAACCGUGUGCUUACAAGUAGUCAGAGCCCGUUAAUGGGUGAUGGCGUGCCUUUUGUAGAAUGAACCGGCGAGUUACGAUUUGAUGCAAGGUUAAGCAGUAAAUGUGGAGCCGUAGCGAAAGCGAGUCUGAAUAGGGCGUUUAGUAUUUGGUCGUAGACCCGAAACCAGGUGAUCUACCCUUGGUCAGGUUGAAGUUCAGGUAACACUGAAUGGAGGACCGAACCGACUUACGUUGAAAAGUGAGCGGAUGAACUGAGGGUAGCGGAGAAAUUCCAAUCGAACCUGGAGAUAGCUGGUUCUCUCCGAAAUAGCUUUAGGGCUAGCCUCAAGUGAUGAUUAUUGGAGGUAGAGCACUGUUUGGACGAGGGGCCCCUCUCGGGUUACCGAAUUCAGACAAACUCCGAAUGCCAAUUAAUUUAACUUGGGAGUCAGAACGUGGGUGAUAAGGUCCGUGUUCGAAAGGGAAACAGCCCAGACCACCAGCUAAGGUCCCAAAAUAUAUGUUAAGUGGAAAAGGAUGUGGCGUUGCCCAGACAACUAGGAUGUUGGCUUAGAAGCAGCCAUCAUUUAAAGAGUGCGUAAUAGCUCACUAGUCGAGUGACACUGCGCCGAAAAUGUACCGGGGCUAAACAUAUUACCGAAGCUGUGGAUUGUCCUUUGGACAAUGGUAGGAGAGCGUUCUAAGGGCGUUGAAGCAUGAUCGUAAGGACAUGUGGAGCGCUUAGAAGUGAGAAUGCCGGUGUGAGUAGCGAAAGACGGGUGAGAAUCCCGUCCACCGAUUGACUAAGGUUUCCAGAGGAAGGCUCGUCCGCUCUGGGUUAGUCGGGUCCUAAGCUGAGGCCGACAGGCGUAGGCGAUGGAUAACAGGUUGAUAUUCCUGUACCACCUAUAAUCGUUUUAAUCGAUGGGGGGACGCAGUAGGAUAGGCGAAGCGUGCGAUUGGAUUGCACGUCUAAGCAGUAAGGCUGAGUAUUAGGCAAAUCCGGUACUCGUUAAGGCUGAGCUGUGAUGGGGAGAAGACAUUGUGUCUUCGAGUCGUUGAUUUCACACUGCCGAGAAAAGCCUCUAGAUAGAAAAUAGGUGCCCGUACCGCAAACCGACACAGGUAGUCAAGAUGAGAAUUCUAAGGUGAGCGAGCGAACUCUCGUUAAGGAACUCGGCAAAAUGACCCCGUAACUUCGGGAGAAGGGGUGCUCUUUAGGGUUAACGCCCAGAAGAGCCGCAGUGAAUAGGCCCAAGCGACUGUUUAUCAAAAACACAGGUCUCUGCUAAACCGUAAGGUGAUGUAUAGGGGCUGACGCCUGCCCGGUGCUGGAAGGUUAAGAGGAGUGGUUAGCUUCUGCGAAGCUACGAAUCGAAGCCCCAGUAAACGGCGGCCGUAACUAUAACGGUCCUAAGGUAGCGAAAUUCCUUGUCGGGUAAGUUCCGACCCGCACGAAAGGCGUAACGAUUUGGGCACUGUCUCAACGAGAGACUCGGUGAAAUCAUAGUACCUGUGAAGAUGCAGGUUACCCGCGACAGGACGGAAAGACCCCGUGGAGCUUUACUGUAGCCUGAUAUUGAAAUUCGGCACAGCUUGUACAGGAUAGGUAGGAGCCUUUGAAACGUGAGCGCUAGCUUACGUGGAGGCGCUGGUGGGAUACUACCCUAGCUGUGUUGGCUUUCUAACCCGCACCACUUAUCGUGGUGGGAGACAGUGUCAGGCGGGCAGUUUGACUGGGGCGGUCGCCUCCUAAAAGGUAACGGAGGCGCUCAAAGGUUCCCUCAGAAUGGUUGGAAAUCAUUCAUAGAGUGUAAAGGCAUAAGGGAGCUUGACUGCGAGACCUACAAGUCGAGCAGGGUCGAAAGACGGACUUAGUGAUCCGGUGGUUCCGCAUGGAAGGGCCAUCGCUCAACGGAUAAAAGCUACCCCGGGGAUAACAGGCUUAUCUCCCCCAAGAGUUCACAUCGACGGGGAGGUUUGGCACCUCGAUGUCGGCUCAUCGCAUCCUGGGGCUGUAGUCGGUCCCAAGGGUUGGGCUGUUCGCCCAUUAAAGCGGUACGCGAGCUGGGUUCAGAACGUCGUGAGACAGUUCGGUCCCUAUCCGUCGUGGGCGUAGGAAAUUUGAGAGGAGCUGUCCUUAGUACGAGAGGACCGGGAUGGACAUACCUCUGGUGUACCAGUUGUCGUGCCAACGGCAUAGCUGGGUAGCUAUGUGUGGACGGGAUAAGUGCUGAAAGCAUCUAAGCAUGAAGCCCCCCUCAAGAUGAGAUUUCCCAACUUCGGUUAUAAGAUCCCUCAAAGAUGAUGAGGUUAAUAGGUUCGAGGUGGAAGCAUGGUGACAUGUGGAGCUGACGAAUACUAAUCGAUCGAAGACUUAAUCAA